UGGUAAUGCCGGAUGUUCCACAUGAUCGCAUGUGAUUGUGGGAAAGAUUCUAUCGGCGUGGGAUGGGGUCGCGUCCUAUCAGCUUGUUGGUGAGGUAACGGCUCACCAAGGCUUCGACGGGUAGCCGGCCUGAGAGGGCGACCGGCCACAUUGGGACUGAGAUACGGCCCAGACUCCUACGGGAGGCAGCAGUGGGGAAUAUUGCACAAUGGGCGCAAGCCUGAUGCAGCGACGCCGCGUGAGGGAUGGAGGCCUUCGGGUUGUAAACCUCUUUUGUUUGGGAGCAAGCCUUCGGGUGAGUGUACCUUUCGAAUAAGCGCCGGCUAACUACGUGCCAGCAGCCGCGGUAAUACGUAGGGCGCAAGCGUUAUCCGGAUUUAUUGGGCGUAAAGGGCUCGUAGGCGGCUCGUCGCGUCCGGUGUGAAAGUCCAUCGCUUAACGGUGGAUCUGCGCCGGGUACGGGCGGGCUGGAGUGCGGUAGGGGAGACUGGAAUUCCCGGUGUAACGGUGGAAUGUGUAGAUAUCGGAA
rnacentral:rRNA from 1 species